rnacentral:rRNA from 1 species
UACGUAGGUGGCAAGCGUUGUCCGGAUUUACUGGGCGUAAAGAGCGCGCAGGCGGUCGGAUUAGUCGCGUGUGAAAGCCCCCGGCUCAACUGGGGAGGGUCACGCGAUACUGUUCGACUCGAAGGCAGGAGAGGGAAGUGGAAUUCCCGGUGUAGUGGUGAAAUGCGUAGAUAUCGGGAGGAACACCAGUGGCGAAGGCGACUUCCUGGCCUGUUCUUGACGCUGAGGCGCGAAAGCGUGGGGAGCGAACAGG